rnacentral:rRNA from 1 species
UGGAAGUAAAAGUCGUAACAAGGUCUCCGUUGGUGAACCAGCGGAGGGAUCAUUACAGAGUUGCAAAACUCCCAACCAUUGUGAACCUACCUCACCGUUGCCUCGGCGGGUGGCCCCCACCAGGGCCGCGCCGGCCCCACCGGCCGGCAACCCGUCAGAGGACCGCAACUCUUAGUCAUCAUUGGCCUCUCUGAGUAACUUAUACAAUAAGUCAAAACUUUCAACAACGGAUCUCUUGGUUCUGGCAUCGAUGAAGAACGCAGCGAAAUGCGAUACGUAAUGUGAAUUGCAGAUUUCAGUGAAUCAUCGAAUCUUUGAACGCACAUUGCGCCCGCCAGUAUUCUGGCGGGCAUGCCUGUUCGAGCGUCAUUUCAACCAUCAAGCGCCCCGCUUGUGUUGGGGCCCUGCGGCUGCCGCAGACCCCUAAAUCCAGUGGCGGGCUCGUCGUCGUACCGAGUGCAGUAAACAUCCUCGCUCAGGGCACGCGCCGGGUCUCUUGCCGUGAAACACCCCACAUAUCAAGGUUGACCUCGGAUCAGGUAGGAAUACCCGCUGAACUUAAGCAUAUCAAUAAGCGGAGGAA